GUCCCUGUAGGGCAAUGGGUAGCGCGUUGGGCUUCUAAUCCAAAGUUUGUGGGUUCGAAUCCUAUCAGGGAUG